rnacentral:lncRNA from 1 species
UCCGUGUAUUUCCUUGUUAAGCUGUCCACCACAGCUUGAUGCUGGGCAGCAUCACUUUCCAGAACUUCCAGUUUAGUUCUCAGCUCUGCUUCUAACCGUUUAUGCUGCUCAUCCGCUUCAAAGUAAAGUAUAUGCAGUCGUUCGUUCUCUUCUAUCUUCUUCUGAAGAUCUUCAUUGAAGACACUUUUCUGCUCUUGACUCAACUGAGAUGAAGAUUCUGCACUUUUCUUGUUCUUCUUGCCCCUAGUUUCACUUAAUGAAAGUUCAUCUUGAAGCAACUCCAC